AUUACAGAAGUGCAUGGUGAGAAGAUAUGGAUAUGUUUCAUGGUUGAGGUAGGUUCAGAAUUCUGCUGUAUCAAUUAUCCAGCACAGUGGAGAAUAAGAAUUGCAUUUUCUCUAUUCAUCUAUUUGAAGUUCAUGGCUAAUUUAAAACCUGUUUAGUAAUAUUGUUUAAAUGUCUUAUAUGGAAGCAUAUGCACAGGCAUCUACAGAAUUGUCUUCAAUACUAUUGUUAGAACAUUUGCUGCUGUUACUCUAUUUAUUCCCUCAUGUUGAAUGAUAGGAAUCAGUGCUUAAUUGCUUAUUUUGUCCUGUUAAUUGCAUAUGCUAAUGGGAGAAGCACUAAUUGUUUACCUAGAAGAUUAAAAUAUUGCAUCUCUUUGUGUUUUAAUACCAUUGAUGCGUAAGCCUAUGAUUUCUACCUAAACUCUCAAUAAAGCACAGCUCUUCCACAGCCACCUGGCCUGGGGGUAGAUUGCUUUACAUAGAGAUUUUGAUCUACAUGCAAAGUCAUAUUAAUUUUUAGUUUUCAGUUGCAAUUAUCAUUUGCUUGUUUAUUGGAUUGUGGGAGUUGCUUUAGUUGGGUUAUGGUUAAAACAUGACUCCCAUCUUGCUAACAAAACAAGUUGAGAUACAAACUGUAUAAGCGUCCUCGACAUACAUAUUGCAUAGAAUGGAAUAUCAGAAUAUGCUAACAGUAAAAUGUGUUAAGAGGACUUAAAAAGUAUACCAGAUACGAUUUUGGCCUUUGUUUUAUCUAGAUUCUCAAUGAAGAUGAGUAGAAAUAUACAUGAUAUGCAAUUGCAAGAUGUGAGCUGGAAAAAUGUAUGAUAUGCUAUCAUUCUUUAUUUAACACUCUGGAAUGCUGUUUACAGAAUUUCUUAUUUGUAUCAUGAAACAUUUCAGGGUCAAAACAACAGAGUCAUUCAUAGAAUGGAU
rnacentral:misc_RNA from 1 species